GCCCCAUGCGAAGGUUCCGGGAUCGAUCAAAAGCGCGUCCUCCCCCAGGGCUUCGCCCGCGGGCGGCCCUGCGCCCCGCUCGAUUCAAAGGCGGCGCGGUGAUCCCAGCGCCCCCGACUUCGCUCUUCUCAGAUCGACAGAAACGCAGCAGCCGAGAUGAGGAAGUAGAAGCAGGACUGGCUCUAUAAUUUGCAUAGUACACCAACAUGUUGUCCUCCUUGCUCAGGAAUCAUCAGGCAUUUCAAGAUGUGCAAGGACCAAACCCAGGGCCUAAUGCCUGCAAGACAAAGUGACACCCAAGUGAAAAAUUGAAAAAGGGAUUGCAGGUGUGUGACAUCGGGCCAGCUGUAAACGAAUUGCUGAGGACCGUUUGGUGACCUUCAGAAAUUCAGAAUCCACUGAAGUUCGAUAACUUCUCGCGCUAUGUUCUGCACAACAUUAGGGCUUCUGAGAUAUGGCUAAAAUUGUCUUCGUGGUCAAAUAUCUGGCAUAAAAAAAAGGAAUGUCGGUCUUCCAUGUGGCAGUCUUCCGCAUGAUAAAUUGAUAGAGCAGCCCUUUUCUGGAGGAUGUGGCAAUCUUCCAGCAUUCCCUAUGUUGCCUGCCUAGCUUUGAACUUCCAGUCUUCCUACUUCAGCCUCCCACAUAGCUGAACUAUAGAUUCACACCUCUAUGCCCAGCUGAUUUGUGAGACUUCUAUAAAGAAAAUUUAUUACUUAUUAAAGAAGACAUGAAUAACAAGAAAGUUUCAGAUGAUAUCCCAGACGGAGAGAUGUUGCAGUCUUCUAUAAAGAAAAUGAGCUACAGAGAUGUUGCCCAAAGCCACAGCUAAUAAAUAGCAAAGCUUUUCCCAUCGUCCCUCCUUACCCACAAGGAAUAUGU